GGCCGCCCUCACAAGCAACACCCCUCAUCCAGAGCCUCCCCGGCCGGUCCUGAAGCGGCCCAGGCCCGGGGGGAAUGACCCUGCGCCCUGGCGCGCGCCGAGGCCGAGCGGGGACGCGGGACGCUGGCCUGGGCGACGCCGCCGGGGGCCGCCAGGUGGCAGGCGCGCUCCGUGACCGCGCUCCCGGCCUCCCCGCAGCCCGUCGUCCCAGCCCGCGGGGUCGGUCCGGUCGGGGCGGGUGGGCGCGCCAGCCGGUCGCAGCCGUGCCGCCGAGGAAACCCACGGACGCCGAGCCUCCCGGAGCAGCCGCCGGCGGUCCCACUGCGCCCGCAGCGGCGCACAAAGGUGGCGUUUUUUCCUACUCUACGGAUGAGGAAAACGGGGCUCAGAGAGUUAGAUACCCGUAUACACUCACACACAUGGACGUGCCCACCAUACAUCCUACCGUGACUGCCCGUCAUACUAGGGGAUCAGCAACCAUAUGUGGACUGAAUAAAUGAGGCACCGAGUGAAUGAAUAAGCAAGUACGUGAAAAUGCUUCCAUGUGCCGAGAGGCAGACUGCGAAGAGGAGGUUACGGCCUUCACCAAGCCUGCUUACUGAGGGGAGGGACAGACAGGCCUCUGUGCAUGAGGCGCGAUGCUGUGGACACGGCGGAGCAGGCAGAGGACGGCAGGCUUCGCGGAAAACCCGUGAGGGGAACACGUGGUGCGAUAGUAGCUGGCGUGCAGGGCGGGACCCGCCUUCUCAGGGAGACCGCACCCUCCGCCGGAAAGGAGACGGUGCGUGCCCGUCCACGUGCGCCGCCUCCAGCCCGGACCGCCUUGGGGCCGAGUUUUGUGCCGAGUUUUGUGCCGGCCUCCCAAGCUUCGAGCCGCGUGGGUGCGUGUGCGUGUGCUGUAUCCAAAUGUUCUCUAGGACAUCUGAAAGGCUCCUUGGCCUGUAUGGUCCAAGGCAAACUUGGGGUCCUUUCUCCUCCCCCACAGCCAGGCUUAGUCCCUGGUGCUCCCCCUCUCCCCAAGAGGCACCACCGGGCGUCCAGCUUUGCAACUCAGGAAGCUAGGGGGCCUCAGACACCUCUCUCUGCAGCCUCUGUGGCCAGACUAACCCCCGUUUCAUCCUGUUGCCUUGAUAGCUCUGGACUCUGUCCAGUUCUUCACCUCUUCACUGCCCCUUCCUAAUCCUAACCACCGGCACUCUUCCGCUGGACCACAACAGCCUCUUACGUGGUCUCUCCACAUCUCUUCUCACUUGCCUCCCUCCAAGCCUCAGACAUGGGGACACCAGUCUCCUAGAGAGAGUAGGGCCUGCUUAGGGUCACAGUAGGGCUGGAGUUCCCAAGGCAGGAAGGCUAACCCGCAUGCAGGCUGGAGGUUAGACACAGAGCUCAUCCAGGCCUCCUUGGGAAUGGAGAGGAGGCUCUGAAAUUUGCAGUAUCGAGUUUCAGAAAACACGGGGUCAGGGUCAGCAGAGCAGCUGGUAGUGGGGAAGGCCAGGCCCAGCUAAUUUCCUGUCAGAAUGGCCCAGAGGCCCCAGCCCCUCUCUGGGCUGGCCACAGGGGAGGAGAUGCCGGGAAUGGCUCACAUUCCUCUGGCUGGGGCUGCACUGAACCUCCAACCUCCGGGGACCUGCGGGGAGUGAGGAAGUGGAUCUCUGAGGCCAGAAUUGGGGGCUCUCUGCAGGGACCAGGCAUCUGGUGUCCAACCCUUCAGCUGGAAUGGGGCCAGAGACCAGAGAGCAGACACAAAAAGAGCGUCACAGCUGCUGAAGCUUUAGGGUAAAUGAGCCCAGCCUCACAUUCAGAUGAGGAAACAGGCUCAGACAGGACCAGAGCUCACCAGGAUCACAUGAGCUUCCCUGUUCUAAGCCCUUAACUCUGUUUCUUCUGGCCGGGCAUGCAUUUCCUGGAAGGCCUAGCUUUGCUGAGUUGUGUGACACCGGGGGACGAGCUGGGCUAGGACUCUGCUCUUCUUGGCCAGGAGGCAGGAGCCCUCGCUUCCAGCCAGGGAUAUAUGCUUCUCAGGGAGCCCUCAGCUGCAGAGAGGAGAGUGGCUACUCGAUUUCUCUCCAUCAAGUCACACGGUGUGUCUGUGACUUGGGCAGGGGGCCGCCUGCCUGACGCCGUGGGACACAAGCCCUCCCAGAGCCUGGAAGUGCUGCCCACCCCCUCUCUCCAGCAGGGCCCCCCGCAAGUGUGCGGCCUGCCUGUGGAGCCAGGGCCCGGGCUUCUGUCUGCCCGGCUGUCCUUCCUCCACUGGACUCAGAGGCUGUGGCCCUUUUCAGGUCUCUCAGGCACCAACCUGACAGUCCUGUCCCUCUCCCCUCUCCCCACUGCCCCUGGCAGGUAGGCCCCCCUACAGACGCCGCCUCAGGACCGUCUCUCCAGCCCCGUGGCCUGCUUUCUCUGAUCUGAACAAGCACAACGGCCCCCAGCGGCCCCCACCCCCACUUCACAGUCGCCCUGUGCAUCUUCGCCAGGGGAGCUUUCUGAACACGUCACGUCCUGGCUAACUGCCUUUCCGUGCCCUCCUCCCCUUGCCCUUUGCCCAGCCAGCUCCUUCUUGUCCUGAGAAGCCUCAGUGGCAUGUACCCAGGGGUCAACCUGAAAUAAAGAGCCACGACAAGAGGCAAACGAGUGUGUAUUUGGGAUCCAAGAACUGCAGACUCUGGUGUAACCAGUUCCUGCCUUCAGGUGAGAGCCAGGGGUCUCACGGGAGAGGAAGGGGGGUGACUGCGUGACUUGGUGCCAACGGACUGCGCUGCUGUGGGUACGCACGGACUGACUCUUGGGUUACCCAACGGCACUCUUCCUGCUACGCUUCAGUCAACGGCUCUGUCUCCCGAAGGUCGGCAGCCAGCAGUGUUCCGGCCAGGAGGCUGCUGUCCUGUUGGCUCCGCGGACCGCUGCGGCCCCCACUGCUGUUGUGCCCGGUUCAAACACGGCGGGCAAGGCGAUUUCUCUGCAGGGGCCUCCCCGCGACGCUGUGUUAAAAUGACUGCAGUCACUCAGUUUUUCCCGCUGGGAGGUCUUCUCUGACGCCCGGGGCUGGGUUCAGGGUCCCCACCUGGCCCCAGGUCUGAUUGCGCUGGCUUCCACAGCUGGCAGGUGCGGAGGGCGGCUCGUUUCACUCGGGGUCCGAAGCAGUCGGAACGGGCACCAGCACAGAGCAGGUACCAAUAAAGCUCGGCUGACUGAGGGGAAAGUGAGCGAAGGUGCAGAAAGAAGGACCCUCUGUGGCUUUGGGUGACUGCCGCAUUCAUGGUAGGCUCCGUCCCGCAGCGGGAGCUUUGGGAGGAACACGUGCCCCGUCAGGCUUGCCCUGGCACCUCGCGUACUGAAGCCGCCGCCUCCCGCUGGUGAGGCCGCAAGUGAUGGGGUCACAGCAGGGACCCCCAGGCUUCCCUGCUAAACCCAGCUGCCCCUAAGAAAUGAGGAUGUUGAGAGAGGUCGCCAGAAACAGGUGGACGGCAGGCGACAGACGGGCCUGUGUCCGACAGCGUCUGCAUGCAGAGCGGCUGUGUCAGCAGGGUGGGCCCGUGUGCAAGCGUCCAUGUGUGGACAGGCGGGCCCUCGUCUGUUGUCUGUGCGUCAGGACUGUGUUUGCACCUAUGUGUGUGAGCACGCCCCCCCAUCAGGGCCUGGCAGUAACCCCCCCGCCGGCACAGCCCCCCAAGCCCCCACCUCCCGUGGCACUCGGCCCUCUGCCUCCCUCUCGCCUCUCCCCAGGCUACCCCGAGUCCGACGUCCCUGUCCUGGGCUCCUGUGCCCGCACACCCUUCUGUCGCGGCGGGUCGGUUCUGUCAGGCUGUAUUCGUUUUCUGUGGCUGUUGUGACGCGUGACUACAAACUCAGGGGCUUCAAACUACAGACCAAUUGCUCUCCAGGCUCCGACCUCGUCUGUGGGAUCUGUGCUGCUGCCUCCGCAGGAAAAUGGUGAAGAAAACGGAGAUAAGCCCGCACGCGAAGCACCGCUGCCCCUCCAGUGGCAAAACCAAGAUGAAGGGACGAGCCGUGGGGCCCUGGCAUCGGGGCUCCUGCGUGAGAACUGGAAGCGGAUGGUGCCCCGGCCACAGCACCACUUCCGCGUCACGGUGACGUCGGCCGUCCGAGGACUGAGGAGUCGAGAGACCAGUAGAAGCUCCGGCAUUUGAAACGUCGCUAGCCUGUGGUCAGUGGGAUAGUUUGUGUAACGGAAUAAACCCCAGAUCUGUUAUCGUCCCGUUCUGAAGGUCUGAAGUCCACGUGGGUCUCGCCGGGCCAGCCUCCAGGAGUUGGCGGGGCUGCGUUCCUUCCGGAGGCUUGAGGGGAGGGUGUUUUCUUGCCUUUCCCAGCUUCCAGAGGCUGCCCACAUUCCCUGGCCCCUUCCAUCUUCAAAGCCUGAGUGACUGGCCACGUCUCUCGCGUGGUGUCUCUGCCACUCGUUUCCGCCUCCUCCCUCCACUCGUAAGGACCCUUGUGAUGACACUGGGCGCGUCAGGAUGAUCUCUUGAGGUCCGCUGAUCACCUGCAGCCUUAAUUCUCCUUUGCCGCGUCGGUAGUAUGUUCACAGAUCCUGGGAAUGUGGCCGUGCACGUCUCGGGGGUGUGGGCGUCACUCCGCUCAGCACAGAUGGUCUGUCUCUCUGAGCUCUCCCUCCCCCGGAGACCCCUUGGCAGCGAGAGUGUCCAGCCUGUCCUAGGUCUUUAUUACAUACCUGAAUAAUUCUGAUCCAGUCAAUGAUGUGGUGAGAAUUCGUUUGUGCUGGCUACUUUCAAACAUACCAUCCCGACUUUUCUUCCCAUUUUAUAGGUGAGGAAAAUAAGGCUCCGAGGAGUUAGGCGGCAAAAGCUAGUAUGUGACAGCGCCGGGAGCGUCAGUAUACACCGCCGUCAGGUGGAAAACGCAGAGGGUCUAGAGCUCCAGUGGGGAGAAAGCCCUAGACCUUGGGCGGAGGCCAUGAAAAUACACCUCAGAUUUCAGACCGGCCCGGUGGCUGCGCUCUCCUAGCCUCGCGGUUUGCGCUGAGCCCACGGGCGGCUCUCAGCCAAUGACUAAGAUGGGGUCCUUCUUGGGAGAUACAAGGUUUCUCUGACAGGCAGUUUUGGCACAAGGGCUCCCCGUUGGCCUUGCUCCUUUUAGACCUGACUGCAGCCUCACUCUUCCCCUCCACCUCCCGUCCUCUGUCUCUUGUUCACAGGGGUCAGACCUGCAUCACUGCCUGCCGCGCCCUCCCCCUCCCCCCGCCCGCCCUAUGCCCUCACACGUGUCCCCCGUAAGUCUCCUGCACACAGAGAGUCCUGUCUUGGUGGAAGGACCAGAAC